rnacentral:rRNA from 1 species
ACGAACGCUGGCGGCGUGCUUAACACAUGCAAGUCGAGCGGUAAGGCUCUUUUGGGAGUACACGAGCGGCGAACGGGUGAGUAACACGUGAGCAAUCUGCCCUUCACUUUGGGAUAACCUCCGGAAACGGUGGCUAAUACCGAAUAUGACCACUUCACGCAUGUGAUGGUGGUGGAAAGUUCUGGCGGUGGAGGAUGAGCUCGCGGCCUAUCAGCUUGUUGGUGAGGUAAUGGCUCACCAAGGCUUCGACGGGUAGCCGGCCUGAGAGGGUGACCGGCCACACUGGGACUGAGACACGGCCCAGACUCCUACGGGAGGCAGCAGUGGGGAAUAUUGGACAAUGGGCGAAAGCCUGAUCCAGCAACGCCGCGUGAGGGAUGACGGCCUUCGGGUUGUAAACCUCUUUCAGUACCGACGAAGCGAAAGUGACGGUAGGUACAGAAGAAGGACCGGCCAACUACGU